rnacentral:rRNA from 1 species
GACGAACGCUGGCGGCGUGCUUAACACAUGCAAGUCGAGCGGUAAGGCCCUUUCGGGGGUACACGAGCGGCGAACGGGUGAGUAACACGUGGGUGACCUGCCCUCAGCUCUGGGAUAAGCCCGGGAAACUGGGUCUAAUACUGGAUAUGACUCCACGGUGCAUGUCGUGGGGUGGAAAGCCUUGUGCGGCUGAGGAUGGGCCCCGCGGCCUAUCAGCUUGUUGGUGGGGG